CAGUCGCCGCGGGAAUACGAAGGGGGCUAGCGUUGUUCGGAAUUACUGGGCGUAAAGCGCACGUAGGCGGAUAUUUAAGUCAGGGGUGAAAUCCCGCAGCUCAACUGCGGAACUGCCUUUGAUACUGGGUAUCUUGAGUAUGGAAGAGGUUAGUGGAAUUGCGAGUGUAGAGGUGAAAUUCGUAGAUAUUCGUAGGAACACCAGUGGCGAAGGCGGCUAACUGGUCCAUAACUGACGCUGAGGUGCGAAAGCGUGGGGAGCAAACAGGAUUAGAUACCCCGGUAGUCCCUGUCUCUUAUAA
rnacentral:rRNA from 1 species